AAAUAGCUAUUGCAACGGUUUAUUUUCUCCCAAUAUUUCCCUCCAAUAAUUUUAGUAACCCGCCAAAGCUUCUUCUUUUUUAUGAAAAAUUAAAUAUGAAUGUCACUCUAUGUAAACACUUCAGUUUCUUUGGUGGAGGGUUUUCUUCUCCAAUAAGGAAUUGAGCGUUUUUUUCUCCAGUAAUGAAGUAAGGAUUUUUUGCACCUGGUUCUACAACUAGUACAGGUUAAAAAUUUGGCAGAGAAGGUCCGAUCUAAUAAUAUCCAGUUUAUUUUGUAUUGCUUGAGGGUUUGAACGUUUAUAGAAGUGCAGGUAUACUCAUUCAAGGCAUCAAAUGCUAUUUGUCGCUAAUAUUUGUCAGUUCUGUAAAUAAUGAAGGAGUUUGAAGGCAGAAGUGGGACUCUAUCAAAUCACAAUCAAGGGUCAAGAUGAGGUUUGCUUUGCAAUAUAUAGAUGUUUUGGUUACAAAUUGGAAGCUUAUGGUCACACUUAAUGCUCACCAAGUAGCUCUAAUUUCAUUCAUGGGAUAAAUUGGAGUGUUCUUUUGAAAAAUUGCACAGAUGCCUGAGGGAUAUAAGGUAGUGAAAUUGAACAAGGGGAUGAAAGAAGUGAAUAUACAUGAUCCACUAAGGAGGAUUGGGUUAAUUUUUUUGGAAAAUUGAAAACUUGUGUGUUCCACCUCUUGAAUGGUCAAACAUUAUCUUGAUAUUUUGCUUUUAUGUAUAUUUCUUGACCUCUUGGAUUAUUAUUUUGGUAUGAUGUUGGAUCUUGUAUUAUUAUUUUGGUAUGAUGUCGGAUCUUGAAUUAUUAUUUUGGUAUAUAUGAUGUGGGAUCUUGGAUUAUUAUAGUUUCUUCUUGUGAUUGA